rnacentral:snRNA from 1 species
ACACAUCACCUGGCAGGGAAGACACCAUGGUCAGGAAGGUUUUCCCGGGGUCAGGCUCAUUCAGUGCGCUCUGGUUGUACUGAUCCUGCAAUCUCUUCAAAUGCAGCAAACUCAACUUCGGAAUUUGUGGUAGUGGGGGCCGUGUUCCUACUCUUCCCAA